rnacentral:rRNA from 1 species
CACGUAGGGUGCGAGCGUUGUCCGGAAUUAUUGGGCGUAAAGAGCUCGUAGGCGGUGUGUCGCGUCGGCCGUGAAAACCUGCAGCUUAACUGUGGGCUUGCUUUCGAUACGGGCAGACUUGAGGCAUGCAGGGGAGAACGGAAUUCCUGGUGUAGCGGUGGAAUGCGCAGAUAUCAGGAGGAACACCGAUGGCGAAGGCAGAUCUCUGGGCCGUAACUGACGCUGAGGAGCGAAAGCAUGGGGAGCGAACAGG